AACGAACGCUGGCGGCAGGCUUAACACAUGCAAGUCGAACGCAUCCUUCGGGGUGAGUGGCAGACGGGUGAGUAACGCGUGGGAACGUGCCCUUCAGUUCGGGAUAACCCAGGGAAACUUGGGCUAAUACCGGAUACGUGCGAGAGCAGAAAGAUUUAUCGCUGAAGGAUGGGCCCGCGUCUGAUUAGCUAGUUGGUGGGGUAAUGGCCCACCAAGGCGACGAUCAGUAGCUGGUCUGAGAGGAUGAUCAGCCACAUUGGGACUGAGACACGGCCCAAACUCGUACGGGAGGCAGCAGUGGGGAAUAUUGGACAAUGGGGGCAAGCCUGACCCAGCCAUGCCGCGUGAGUGAUGAAGGCCUUAGGGUUGUAAAGCUCUUUCGUCCGGGACGAUAAUGACGGUACCGGAAGAAGAAGCCCCGGCUAACUUCGUGCCAGCAGCCGCCGUAA
rnacentral:rRNA from 1 species